UUACGGUCAAAUCACGCUGAAACACCGGUUCUCGUACGGUCACCGAAGUUAAGCAGCGUAGAGCCAGGUCAGUACUUAGAUGGGGGACCGCUUGGGAACACCUGGUACUGUAAG
rnacentral:rRNA from 1 species